GAAGAAGAAGAAGAAGAAGAAAUGACGAUGAGCAGCCAUAUUGGGCCUUUUGGAGAUACGACACUGACCAAAGUGUUUGUUGGAGGAUUAGCAUGGGAGACACCAACGGAAGCCUUGAGAGAGCACUUUGAGAAAUAUGGUGAGAUCCUGGAGGCUGUCAUUAUCUCUGAUAAAGUCACUGGCAGAUCCAAGGGCUAUGGAUUUAUCACGUUUAGGGAUGCUGAAUCAGCAAAAAAGGCUUGCGAAGACGCUGCUCCCAUCAUCAACGGUCGCCGAGCCAACUGCAAUUUGGCUUCUCUUGGUGCUCGCCGUCCGAGGUCCACCACUCCGGCUCCUCCUCAACAUGGAUCCAACGUUGGACCGAAAUCCACAUCACCAGCACCAGCAAAUCACGUGCAGUGGUACUAUCCAGCUGGUUCACCUUUAUCCCCAUAUCAUCAUCAUCAGCACCACUAUCAGGCCGUUCCCUUUUAUGGGUAAUCCAAGCUUAACUAAUCUCCAUUAUAGUAGUUUGCAAUUUAUGGAAAUUAAUACGUUCUUGUCUCAUGAUAUGCUCCUCCUCUCGUGCAGCUACACCCCAACUUACGUUGCAACUGACAUCAGUUACAAUCAUGUGAGUGAUAUAUUCAAUUUGCGAUUAUUACUAUUAUCAGAGCACUUAGCCAAAUGGUUUUUAUUUGGAAAGAAAAAAAAAAAAAUCUUAUUUUUGGGUGACUGAUGGGUCCACAGAAGCUGAGCUACACAGGCGGGUCCUACAUGAACGGGCAUUUUUCUCAGGUGUAUCCAGGGCAGCCCAUUAUGGGUGCGAAUCCAGCGAUGCCAAUGUACCCGUUUUAUCAAUUCCAUCAAUCACAGACGAUGGGCCUACGUGCCCAUAUCUUCCCACCAACAACAGCGGGCCCCCUGACGACAGUCCCCACCAUAAUACCAAAGACUCCAUCGAUAGCUCCUAGCCCAGGUAACAGAUGCUCUUCUAACAUGGUGAUGAUGAUUGUAUAACAACUUUUUGUGGUGGCAAUUGGCAUCACAUGGUAACAUAUGCCCUGUCCAACCUAACCUUAGUCAAUGUGAACAAGAAUCAUUGUGUCACGUGCCCUUGAGAUUGAUUUGGGGUCCACUGCCAACUGGCCCCUUAGAAACCCACGUGCGUGAGAAGACCAAAUUGCCCUUUUCGCCAGUGUGUACUAGCUGGUUGAUCAAUGCUGGUUUUAUGUGCUUUGUUCCAUUCAUUGUCCCAGCCUGCCACCUUUGUCUUGCGUGUGUUUUUCACUUUUUAUUUAUUUUUAUAAUUAUUUUAAAUCUAAAAUAGUAUUUUGUAGAAAAUUUAUUUAUUAAAAAAAAAAGUAUGAACUGAUUUUACAGAGACAGUUUGCUUGGCUGUGGAAUAGGUUCUGUUGGCACAGAGAAAUGCUUUAAAAUGGCCGGCUAAGGACAAACAAUGAGGGAGGAUGGUAUUGGCAGCUGCUGCAAAGACAACAUUAUUUUCUUAUAUGUUGUGGCUAUUAAUUCUUCCCUAUUUAUUUAUUUUUUAAAUAUUUCUUAUUAUGAUUCUUAAUUAGGUGUUUGAUAAUAUUCUUUCAUCUCUUCUUCUCUCUCUUUAUCUCUAACAUCUCAGCAUUAGCUGUGAACUGAACUAUUAGUUAAAACAAAAAAAUUAAUGUAACAGAAGUAUCUUAUGGGUUACUUUUGAUUGCCUCAAUGAACUUUGCAGCAUAAAAGCUUGCAUCUUAUAAUAAUGUGUUCUCAUAUAUUUAUACAUGUAUUUAUAAUUUUUUUGGAUGAAAUUUAUCUAAUAUUAUUUUGUAAAUAAUAUGGUGAAUAUUGAUGAUAUUGUGAAUCUUUGGGUUAUGAGAUGAAUGGAAUUGGAUCUCGAAUUGCCUGAAACCAAUAAUAAAGUGAGGUCGGCGGCCAUUCCUACUUGGGUAGAAUCCUGAGGCCUAUUGAUACUAUGGUAGGAGAUAAUCGUAAGAUUUUAUUGGUCAAUUCUAUGUUCUCCGUUAGCCAUAUGUAAUAGAAAUAUACUUGCAUCAGUGUGAUUCCCUGUAGCCGUGCAUUAUGGAAUAGAAAUUUUUACUUAAAUUGAAUUUAUCAUGGAUUUAAAAUACAAUUAUAUGAGAUUUAUGUAUUUAAUAAAUGAGUUUCACAAUGCAUCUUAUGUUUUAGAUUCAUGAUGGAUCGAUUCUAAAUAAGAAAAAUCCCGUUAUCGAAUUAUUGUGUGUCCAUGUUAUUUUUGUAAAUGUGGGUACCACAGUUUGUGUAAAACAAAGCUUUAUGAUUCUCUGUUGAUCAAUGCAUUUAUGUAUAUAAAUGAGUACAUGGUUAUUAUAAAGUUCUUAUCUAGUGGUUACAAAGAGAUAACAAUGAAUUUCAAGUAGAUGAGUAUCCAGUAUACAUGGGAUAAUGAUUGUAGGUAGAUGAGUAUCCUGUAUACAUGGGAUAAUGUUAUUAUCCUUCAUCACACCCCCUCAAUUCGAGGCAAUAAUGGAUCGAAUUGCCAACUUCUAGUGAAGAUUUUCAUGCCUUGAUUUGGACACGGUCUUUGUAAGUAAAUCUGCUAUUUGAGAGGAAAUAUACUUAACUUGCAACUCUUUGUUGGCUACUUUAUCAUGGAAAAAAUGAAAAUCGAUCUCGAUAUGUUUUGUGCGGCCAUGAAAAAUUGGAUUGGCAUUAAGGUAUGUCGCACCUAUAUUGUUACACCAUAGUGUUGGUGUGGAGGAUGGUCGAUUUCUUUUAGCACGGAUUGAAUCCAUGUUAGUUCAGUGGUUGCAAAGCCAAUCGCUC
rnacentral:misc_RNA from 1 species